AUACGGUGGGUGCAAGCGUUAAUCGGAAUUACUGGGCGUAAAGCGCGCGUAGGCGGUUUGAUAAGUCGGAUGUGAAAUCCCCGGGCUCAACCUGGGAAUUGCAUUCGAUACUGUCAGGCUAGAGUGUGGUAGAGGGAAGUGGAAUUUCCGGUGUAGCGGUGAAAUGCGUAGAUAUCGGAAGGAACACCAGUGGCGAAGGCGGCUUCCUGGACCAACACUGACGCUGAGGUGCGAAAGCGUGGGGAGCAAACAGGAUUAGAUACCCUAGUAGUCC
rnacentral:rRNA from 1 species